GAUGAACGCUAGCGGCAGGCUUAAUACAUGCAAGUCGAGGGGCAGCACGGGUAGCAAUACCUGGUGGCGACCGGCAAACGGGUGCGGAACACGUACGCAACCUUCCCAUAACUGGUGAAUAGCCCUCCGAAAGGAGGAUUAAUACACCGUAACAUAACGAAGUGGCAUCACUUUGUUAUUAUAGGCUUCGGCCGGUUUUGGAUGGGCGUGCGCCUGAUUAGGUAGUUGGCGGGGUAACGGCCCACCAAGCCUGCGAUCAGUAACUGGUGUGAGAGCACGACCAGUCACACGGGCACUGAGACACGGGCCCGACUCCUACGGGAGGCAGCAGUAAGGAAUAUUGGUCAAUGGACGAAAGUCUGAACCAGCCAUGCCGCGUGAAGGAUGACGGCCCUCUGGGUUGUAAACUUCUUUUAUAGGGGACGAAAAAAGGGCAUUCUUGCUCACUUGACGGUACCCUAGGAAUAAGCACCGGCUAACUCCGUGC
rnacentral:rRNA from 1 species